CGGAGUUCCCGUAGCAGCAUCGAGGUGUUCCUGAGAUAAAGAAGGCUGUUGAGAAGAAUCGGACCGUGUUGCGUUUUUCUUGCUGGACGAGGUGAGCGCAACAAGUGCCUCUGGCAUUUACAAGAUGUUUCUAUAUAGUGUCCUUAUAGUGCAGCUUCCUGGCAUUUUUCUGUGUUUUACAAUGAUGAUUUGGGAAGAAUACUUAUGGAUUUCUUUCAUCUUUUCAUUUGAAGAUUUAUCUUCAAUUACCGCAUAUUUCAAUAUCUGCAUCUUUUCAUUUGAAGAUUUAUCUUCAAUUACCGCAUAUUUCAAUAUCUGCAUCUUUUCAUUUGAAGAUUUAUCUUCAAUUACCGCAUAUUUCAAUAUCUGUUACAAGUGUGUGUUAACAAUUGUCUAAAACUCUAAGAUCUGACAGCCUAACCCAGACGUAUGUGAAGACGAAACCAUACCAAUGUGCAUAAAAUAAAAACAAUAAAAUAUAUUGGGGCCUGGGGAGAUGGCUCAGCGAUUAAGAGCACGGACUGCAGUUCCAGACAUCAUGAGUGCAAAUCCCAGCAACCACAUGGUGGCUCACAACCAUCUGUAACGGCGUCUGAUAACAUCUUCUGGUGUGUCUGCAGACAGCAACAGCGAGAAUGCACUCACAUUUAUUAAAUAAAUUAAUCUUUAAAAAAUAAAAAAUAAAUGAUAGUAAAUGCA
rnacentral:lncRNA from 1 species